UUUUUUUUUUACUAAGCAUGCAUUUAUUGGUUUAAAAAAGUAUAAACUGCGAAAAUAUAUUUUAUAGGAAGAAUAAGGAAACAAUUCAAAAUGAAAAGCCACGUGGUAGUUGUGUCUGAUUUCCCCUCCUCCACUUUAGAAGUGAGAGAAAUGAUAAGAACAGAAAUGCAGCCUUGCAAAGGGACUCAUUUAAGUUUUUCCAUUUUUUUUUAAUAAAAUGGCAUCAACUGCUGAAAGCAUUACGGCCUUUGUUAUGCUACAUAAUACUGAUAUAAAAUGUGAAUAGUACAAAGUUCAUCAUAUAUAAUAUAAGGUUUUAAUAUAUUACAUUUGUUUCUACAUAAACAGACUAUAAAUAUAUGUGCCAUAGCAUGUUUUACAGUCAUGGUUCCCAGCAUCUCACACUAUGGUACCAAAUGGAAAAUACAUUUUCUUUUUUAAAAAGGAAAGAACAAGGGCAGAAACCAGUAGAAAUAGCUUUACGUGUUAAAAGUCUAAAUAAUAGAAUAGAUGUUGUUAAAACUUUGGCUAUAAAAUAAUUUUGAAAUCUGGCUAACAGUCCUUCAGAGAGUGAACAAACCAAAUCAGCUUUUACUAGAGUGUAGAGGCCAAAUUACUAAGAUACUGACGGAUUGGGGUGAAGAGAGGGGGAAGGUUCAGGGAAGGGAGAAGGAACCAAAGAGUAAAAUCCUUCCUGAAGCUUUGACACCACAGCUUGAUACGGAACCUACUGCAUUCAGGCUCAGACAUAUAUCACAUCAGGACAGAUAUGUGGGUAUUCACCCAGAAGACACCAGAAGCUGGUUUAUACAAUCAGAACUCUUCAACACGACAGGGAGCCUCCGUCUGAAUGUCCUUUCUUUAUGGUGCUCUGAAUAAAGGAUCGGCCUGGGAGACAAGGAGCCAGAGCUGCAUCAUUUCCUUCCUGGGGCUUGGCCAGGAGACGCGUAAGAGUCCGGAAGGCACUCUCAUUAGGAGUCGGAAACAGCCCAAGGAGCUCUCAUUUAGCCCAACCGGGAAGAGCACGCAACCUUCUAAAACCAGUAACCUCAUCUGAAGCCCUUUACAUUUCCUCACAGACCCCAUGCCCACCUCCACAACGGCCAACACAAUGCAUCCGCAGGCUCCAGCGUGCUCUCAGAGCAAGCCAACGUCUUCCUUUCUGUCAAUCCAAACCCCACACGUAAGACUUGGCUCAGGACCCAUAUCUCAAACAAAGGGUCUUGGGUGGACUCGGCCCUAAAGGUCUUUCCCAUUUUCAACACCUAAAGCACUUGCAUUGCCCAGUUUAUCUUCUGGUUUUACAGAGAGGUGUCAACUCCCCAGGUGUUGCCACUUCAUGGACAGAUGCAGCCAUUUCUUGAACUCCUUUUGUUAUAACCCACGGGGAGACCCACAGUCAGGGGCAUCAGACACGCUUUUAAAUGCAUACACAGAAGGCCAACACUGGUAGAAAGCACAAACACAUUCUUGAGUCACAAACAUCUUCUCAGGA
rnacentral:lncRNA from 1 species